rnacentral:tRNA from 1 species
AUUUAUAUAGUAUAAUAAUUACAUUUAAUUUCCACUUAAAAUAUUUAAUUUAACUUUUAAUAUAAAUA